rnacentral:rRNA from 1 species
GUGAGGAAUAUUGGACAAUGGGCGCAAGCCUGAUCCAGCCAUGCCGCGUGCAGGAAGACGCAUCUAUGGUGUGUAAACUGCUUUUGUACGGGAAGAAACACUCCCUCGUGAGGGAGCUUGACGGUACCGUAAGAAUAAGGAUCAGCUAACUCCGUGCCAGCAGCCGCGGUAAUACGGAGGAUCCAAGCGUUAUCCGGAAUCAUUGGGUUUAAAGGGUCCGUAGGCGGGUUAAUAAGUCAGUGGUGAAAGCCCAUCGCUCAACGAUGGAACGGCCAUUGAUACUGUUAGACUUGAAUUACAAGGAAGUAACUAGAAUAUGUAGUGUAGCGGUGAAAUGCUUAGAUAUUACAUGGAAUACCAAUUGCGAAGGCAGGUUACUACUUGUGGAUUGACGCUGAUGGACGAAAGCGUGGGGAGCGAACAGGAUUAGAAACCCGUGUAGUCC